AAUGAUCUCCAGUUCUAUUCUGCUGUUUCGAGACAAUAGAAGAAUAUGUUGGACCUUAAGGGACUGAAGUGAAACACAAAUGGUUUAAUGGGCAUCUCUGAGACUACAUAAAAAGGAUUGUGUUUCUACUUCUGAAUGCUGGAAGCAUUAUAUUAUGAAGGAGAUUUUGAUUUAUAUCCAUAAAGUUUUCAACUUUAUGUUGAGAAAGGAAAUGAGAGCUGAAGUUGUGAAAGUGUUAUUAAAAAGUAAUUUUGAAUGUUUGAAGUCUGAAGACCUCAGGAUUUAUCUUGUGUUUUUUUCCCCUUCCAUUCCAUGGUGUCUGAUUCUCAGAGACUACUUGGACAAGUCCUGGAGUUCUCUUGACAAGAUUUUUCAAAAGUGGUUUACAAUUGCCUCCUUCCCAAGAGAGAAAGUGACAAGCCCAAGGUCACCCAGCUUCUAACUUAAUGUGUGACUAGAAGUCAUCAUU